ACACAUGCAAGUCGAACGAUGAAGCCCAGCUUGCUGGGUGGAUUAGUGGCGAACGGGUGAGUAACACGUGGGUGAUCUGCCCUGCACUUCGGGAUAAGCCUGGGAAACUGGGUCUAAUACCGGAUAGGACCUCGGGAUGCAUGUUCCGGGGUGGAAAGGUUUUCCGGUGCAGGAUGGGCCCGCGGCCUAUCAGCUUGUUGGUGGGGUAACGGCCCACCAAGGCGACGACGGGUAGCCGGCCUGAGAGGGCGACCGGCCACACUGGGACUGAGACACGGCCCAGACUCCUACGGGAGGCAGCAGUGGGGAAUAUUGCACAAUGGGCGCAAGCCUGAUGCAGCGACGCCGCGUGAGGGAUGACGGCCUUCGGGUUGUAAACCUCUUUCAGUACCGACGAAGCGCAAGUGACGGUAGGUACAGAAGAAGCACCGGCCAACUACGUGCCAGCAGCCGCGGUAAUACGUAGGGUGCGAGCGUUGUCCGGAAUUACUGGGCGUAAAGAGCUCGUAGGCGGUUUGUCGCGUCGUCUGUGAAAACCCGCAGCUCAACUGCGGGCUUGCAGGCGAUACGGGCAGACUUGAGUACUGCAGGGGAGACUGGAAUUCCUGGUGUAGCGGUGAAAUGCGCAGAUAUCAGGAGGAACACCGGUGGCGAAGGCGGGUCUCUGGGCAGUAACUGACGCUGAGGAGCGAAAGCGUGGGUAGCGAAACAGGAUUAGAUACCCUGGGUAGUC
rnacentral:rRNA from 1 species